UUCCAGACUCCUACGGGAGGCAGCAGUGAGGAAUAUUGGUCAAUGGUCGGGAGACUGAACCAGCCAAGCCGCGUGAGGGAUGAAGGUACAGAGUAUCGUAAACCUCUUUUGUCAGGGAACAAAACCCGGGACGAGUCCCGGACUGCGUGUGUCCGAAGAAAAAGCAUCGGCUAACUCCGUGCCAGCAGCCGCGGUAAUACGGAGGAUGCGAGCGUUAUCCGGAUUUAUUGGGUUUAAAGGGUGCGUAGGCGGUCCGUUAAGUCAGCGGUAAAAUUGCGGGGCUCAACCCCGUCGAGCCGUUGAAACUGGCAGACUUGAGUUGGCGAGAAGUACGCGGAAUGCGCGGUGUAGCGGUGAAAUGCGUAGAUAUCGCGCAGAACUCCGAUUGCGAAGGCAGCGUACCGGCGCCAGACUGACGCUGAGGCACGAAAGCGUGGGGAUCGAACAGGAUUAGAUACCCCAGUA
rnacentral:rRNA from 1 species